UACGUAGGGUGCAAGCGUUGUCCGGAAUUAUUGGGCGUAAAGAGCUCGUAGGCGGUUUGUUGCGUCGGCUGUGAAAUCCCGAGGCUCAACCUCGGGUCUGCAGUCGAUACGAGCAAACUAGAGUGUUGCAGGGGAGACUGGAAUUCCUGGUGUAGCGGUGAAAUGCGCAGAUAUCAGGAGGAACACCGGUGGCGAAGGCGGUUCUCUGGGCAUGACCUGACGGCUGAGGAGCGGAAAGCCAGGGGAGCAAACGGG
rnacentral:rRNA from 1 species